ACUAACUGACCUAGUAACUUUAAAACCAUAAUUAUCCAACUGUAUAAUAAUUACUAACCGUACCAUAACCACUGACUGUAGAGACGAAAUUGUUGAAAUGUUAUGUGAUCGGUUAGUUUAUGUGGAUUAAUAGCGUGGAUAGUUGUAUGGUUUCAAUAAUAGUUACAGUGAUGAGUAUAUACAGUGUUUGAGUCUUGAUUUUACUUGUGUGUGUGCAACGUCUUGAUAUUGUUGAGCAUGUGAGGAUCCUGUGUGUGCGUGCACAUGUGUGUUUGGGCCUAGUAACUGUGCGAUGUGGUGCUGGUGAUAAGGAGAUUGGUGUGACUGUUGAAACUGUGUGUAUAUUUGUACAGCUUUUGCAUCAGACGUUUUGUUGAAAUAACAAAAGGCUGUGUAGUAGGG